rnacentral:rRNA from 1 species
CGCCUCUUGCAAAACAAAAUAUAAGAGGUCCCGCCUGCCCUGUGACUAUAUGUUUAACGGCCGCGGUAUUUUGACCGUGCGAAGGUAGCGCAAUCACUUGUCUUUUAAAUGAAGACCCGUAUGAAUGGCAUAACGAGGGCUUAGCUGUCUCUUUUCUCCAAGUCAGUGAAAUUGAUCUCCCCGUGCAGAAGCGGGGAUACAAACAUAAGACGAGAAGACCCUAUGGAGCUUUAGACACAAAGCAGCCCAAAUUAAGACUCCAAAAUUAAAACGGAGCAAUAAAAUGACAACCCUGCUCAAAUGUCUUUGGUUGGGGCGACCAUGGGGAAAAACGAAACCCCCACGUGGAACGGAAGAACUUCUUCUACAACCAAGAGCCGCCACUCCAAGUGACAGAAUCUCUGACCAUAAAUGAUCCGGUACUACCGAUCAACGAACCGAGUUACCCUAGGGAUAACAGCGCAAUCCCCUUCCAGAGCCCAUAUCGACAAGGGGGUUUACGACCUCGAUGUUGGAUCAGGACAUCCUAAUGGUGCAGCCGCUAUUAAGGGUUCGUUUGUUCAACGAUUAAAGUCCU